CCAGCCCGGUGCCAGCAGGACCUUCCCAGGUGACGAGGUGGCCUUUCUUUGCACCUGACAGGGACCAACAUCCCCAGAUGUCUGAGAGAUAAGUAGAGGGCUGCGACGUGGGGUGCUGGGUCAGGACUCCCUGAGGUGGGGGUCUGAGUUGGCUCUGGCAAUGAGGGUAGCCAAGAUGUUGCCCCUUAGGCCCCAUAAAAGCAAAGUCUCCCUUUUGAUCCCAGUGCUGAGGUGCGCAGCAGGGCAGAGCAGUCCCGGUGUGUCUCGUGUCACUUGUCUUUUGUGUAUUGUGUGUUGUCUGGAUAUCUCAUGUCUCUUAUCUUAGCCCUGUGAGGGGCCUCUCAGAACCCUUUCCUAGCAUCCGUGAUCUCAGCGUUCCUCGCCCUGGCACCCAUGCCAUAGAACUUUUGACUGGGGAGCUCACACAGGCAUCAGAAAUGCAUCUCGCUUUAGAAGCGUCCAGUCAGAUGUCUUGUCAUGUCUUGUUCUGAGCUGUACGGACAGCCAUGCUGUGCAAUGAUCCAUUAUAGCAGACUAGGACUUGUAAGGAUGUGAGGUUAGGGAGAGGAUUCUGACUGUAGGAUUCUCGGGCAUCCAUCUUUGCAGUUUUUGGAAUAAAUCAUUCAGUUUGCAUCUUCUUUCUCCAGGGUUCUCUGAGCCUCAUCAGCUCGCCAUCAUCUUCAAUUCUUCUUCUUUUGCCUUCUCUCAGUCCUUGCAGCCAUUUUCCUUGAUAAGAGAUUUCCGUUCCUGUUGUGUCCCCAGUGUUUGUCAUGUCUUGUCUGUUCUGUGUCACGGGUGUCAGCACACAUAUGUGCUGGAGCUGCUCUGCCCUGCUGCAUAGCCUGGUGCAAUAGGAGAAGGCCAGGGACCUGGAAUUUUUAGUGUUGGAUGUAGUUGGACUCUAGAUGGGAUUUGUAGAUGGACACAGGAUAUCUGGAGCUCAUCAGUUAUCCUGUAACAGUUUGACUCUUGUCCUAACUUUCUUUUCAGAUUAAGAUGGAUUAAAUCUGUGCCAGAGGGCCCCAUCCCGGGUGAGGGGAUUGCCCCGAGCAGGAGGUCAAUCUGGAUACCAGCAGCCAAGGUGAGCAGCGGAGAGAAGUGGUUGUUAUUGCUCAGCUCUCAAGCACAACAAUUUUUCAGCAGAUUCAUCGUGUCACAAGAGAGAUCUGCCCAGUGUCAAGGAUGAUGUUUGAGAUUGAGGCUUCAGCUGACCCAGAGGCUCACAGGCCAUCACGGGGCCCUCCGAGGCAGACUCAUUUCAGGUGCAGUAUGGAUUCCCAUCACCGAUCAUCCAAAAGAUAAGUCGGGGGCCACGGCCUGGAGAUGGGAGAGUAGCAGGUUGGGAAUCCCUGGGACAGAUUUAAAAAUUGGCAGUGGGAAAAGCAAUCUUCUGCAAGGGCCUCUUAGGACAGCUAAAGGGAGAGGCUCUACUUUUGAUGGCAGCUUUCAGGCGGGCAGUGCAGAACAGCUCCGGUGUGUGCCGUGUUCCCUGGUGUGUCUUUGGGGUCCCUUUUGCCUUCCCCCCUCGAGGCCCUCACCACAAGCAUGAUGUGUCGUGUUUCAUGUCCCCCUGUUUGUCACGUUCUGUGUCACGGGUGUCUGCGGGUAUUUGUGCCGGAGCUGUUCUGCCCUGCCCAUGGCCUGCUGCAGUAGUCAAAAUUCCAGAAGUAAAAGUCUUGGCGCAGAAAUAUUUAAUCAAGUAUAAAAAAAUAUGAAUGAAAUGAUAUUAAAAAUAUGGAAAACUACUCGCAUCAGAUGUAAUAUAGAAUAUAAAUUUAGUUUUAAAUUGACAUUGGUAAAGAUAAAUGUGUGCGUAAGCAAAAUACAAUAAUAUACAUUAUAAAUACAACUAUGAAUAUAAAAAUUGAACAUUAGGAUAAAACCUAUUUAAAUUUUGUUUAAAAUAAAGGGUUGGGUUUUUUUAUUCAUAUUGUGUUAGAGGCAGGGUUUUUAUUUUAGAUAAUAUGAAUGUAGAUAUUAUUGUUAUAUAUUUCUAUAUAUUGAGAUACACAAUCAAGAUAUAAAUAUAUGUAUAAGCACAAAAUACAAAGAAACACAAAUAAUAGGAAGAGAUGUAAUGAAGAACACAAAGAACAGUAUACAUAAGUAUACAUUUUAAAUGUACAUGUGAAUAUGAACCUGAAAAAUAGAGUUUUAAAAACUAUUUAAAUACUCUUUAGAAAAAAGGGCUUCUGUUUGGCUUUAAUGUGGAUGGAGGCAAAGGUUUUAUUUUAAAUAAUCCAAGUGUUACAGAAGUAAAAAUCGUAACAGAAAUAUAUACUUACUAUGUAAAAAUAUGUAUAAAAAUACACAAGUAAAUUUAAGCUUUAGGGAUAUAUGCAAUAUGGAAUAGAAAUGUAUUUAUAAAAAGAAAUGUAUAAAUGGACAGUGUAUACAUCAAUAUACAUUGUUAAUAGA